AAGGUGGCAGAGCAGCUUUUAAACUAAUUCUCGGGGGAAAGCAGGCAGGAGUUGGAGAGUCUUCAGUUUGGGACAAGUCAGUCCCAAGGGACAAUAGUGUAAACACUCAAGAUAAAAUACUACUUUGGGGACGGUGACAUAUAAAUGUUUUAAAUAAAUAAAUUGAACCCAGACAAGACUGAAGUGAUGCUUGUUGGGAAGGCAGAGAUCUUGAAAGACAUUGUACUCCCCACUUUCGAUGGAGUUUGUCUGACCUUGCAGACUCGGUUAAGAGCCUAGGGCAGUGAUGGCGAACCUUUUUGAGCCCGAGUGCCCAAACUGCAACACAAAACCAACUUAUUUGUUUCAAAGUGCCAACACUGCAAUUAAACCUGAAUACUGAGGUUUUAGUUUAGAAACAACAACUCAUACAGUUGUCCAAACUAACAUAUUUUGUCUUAAAAGAGCUCCCCCACCCCCACCCCACCCCGUCACAAAUGAAAGUAAAGGAGCAGAGCAGAAGGAAUGCAAGCAUCUUACUGUUCCUUUGAAGCCCAGCACCACUCGGCUUGCACUCGGAGGAAAAGGAAUCAUGUGGGCGGGGCCAAAACCCAUGUGACCUCUCUUCAGCUCUACUGGAACACCGUUCCUGUGCGUUCCAGCUCCAAAUGAGCCCUGGGAAAAGGAAUCAUGUGGGCGGAGCCAAAACCCACGCCUCCAAAGGAGCCCUGGCUUGAGUGCCCACAGAAAGGGCUCUGCGCGCCGGCUGUGGCACGCGUGCCAUAGGUUCGCCAUCGCUGAUCUAGAUCUUCCGUGCAGCACACAUGCCCUCCCUCCUUCCCCGCUAACACUCUUUGUACUUACCUUGUUGUAGGGCAGCGAAAGAGGACUGAGGUUAUGUCAGGGGCGCUCCGCCUCUUUGGAGCCGUUUUCGGCAGGAAAGACAGCCACGCAUGCGCACUGAGAGGCGAGAGCGCCCCCUAGUGAUCUUGAGCUAUGAAAAUCUCCAAAAUCGGCAGGCCUGCACAUGCACAGUCCCAUGUGUGCCUGCACAGAAGACAUAGAUGAACAAGUUUUAACCAGGAAGGCCAUUAGCAGUUCCAAUGCGUUGAUGGGUGGUACUUGGGAGCGACUGACUUCCCCCUUCCUGCUCAUCUUCAGCCAUGUUCUUUCCAUAUGAUGUUAUUUCUUCAGACCCUCUAGCCAGGAUGGGCCUCUCAUGUUAUCUCACAGAACUAUGCAUCUCCAAGCUAGAGACGACCUUGGAGACUCAGAUGCCUGCUUUUGCUACUUUGCCCAGAAGCUGGGAACCUAUUAUUGUGUACUCACUGUUUAGCCAUAACUAUAAAGGGUUCUCACUGGACCCGCGUAACCUUGCACACCAAAACCUUAACAGUUGCUGGAGCGUGGGAAACUCAAGUAUAACACAGACUUUUUGUUUUGCCUUAUCACUUCUACCAAGCUCCAUGAUGGAGUUCA